rnacentral:rRNA from 1 species
GAUGAACGCUGGCGGCGUGCCUAACACAUGCAAGUCGAGCGCACAGACGUGGAGCUUGCUCCUCUGCCGUUAGCGGCGGACGGGUGAGUGACACGUGGAUAACCUACCUCUAAGACUGGGAUAACUUCGGGACACCGGAGCUCAUACCACAUCAUAUAUUCUACUGCAUGGUUCAAUAGUGAAAGACGCUUUUGCUGUCACUUAUAGACGGUUCCGGGCCGCAUUAGCUAGUUGGUAAGGGAAAGGCUUAUCAAGGCAACGAUUCGGAGCCGAGCUGAGAAGGUGAUCGGCCACACUGGAACUGAGACACGGUCAAGACUCCUACGGGAGGCAGCAGUGGGGACUCUUGGACAAUGGGCGAAAGCCUGACGGAGCAACGCCGCGUGAGUGAUGAAGGUCUUCGGUUCGUAAAACUCUGUUAUUAGGAAAGAAAAGAUGUGUAAGAAGCUAUGAAAGUCUUGACGGUACCUAAAGAAAAAGCCACGGCUAACUACGUG